rnacentral:tRNA from 1 species
GCGUAGGUGAGGGUUACUUCGACUUCGGAUCGAGAGAUGGCGGGUUCGAGUCCCGUCCAACCGCG